rnacentral:ncRNA from 1 species
GCUAUAAAUUGGCACAUUGAUGUACUCAAUGGGUCUAUAGCCUUGUAAUAUAGCUGAUAUACUCGGGUAAUCUUCGAAAUUUCAUCGUGAUGGGGAUAGAUCAUUGCAAUUGUUGGUCUUUAACGAGAAAUUCUUAGUAAGUGCAAGUUAUCAGCUUGCGUUGACUACGCCCC